ACCAUUCUUUUCUUUGGGUGCACUACUGUCCAAUGGGUGUGUAGUGAGGGCAGAGCUGUUAACGUGUAAACAAUACACUCGCAUCAACUAGAGCUCUGCUUUACCUUGGUGCAAUUUUUGGAAAA